GAUGAACGCUGGCGGCGUGCCUAAUACAUGCAAGUCGAGCGAACGGACGAGAAGCUUGCUUCUCUGAUGUUAGCGGCGGACGGGUGAGUAACACGUGGAUAACCUACCUAUAAGACUGGGAUAACUUCGGGAAACCGGAGCUAAUACCGGAUGAUAUUUUGAACCGCAUGGUUCAAAAGUGAAAGACGGUCUUGCUGUCGCUUAUAGAUGGAUCCGCGCUGCAUUAGCUAGUUGGUAAGGUAACGGCUUACCAAGGCAACGAUGCAUAGCCGACCUGAGAGGGUGAUCGGCCACACUGGAACUGAGGCACGGUCCAGACUCCUACGGGAGGCAGCAGUAGGGAAUCUUCCGCAAUGGGCGAAAGCCUGACGGAGCAACGCCGCGUGAGUGAUGAAGGUCUUCGGAUCGUAAAACUCUGUUAUUAGGGAAGAACAUAUGUGUAAGUAACUGUGCACAUCUUGACGGUACCUAAUCAGAAAGCCACGGCUAACUACGUG
rnacentral:rRNA from 1 species